CAACUAGUGAGGGUGAGCAAAAUGAUCAACCGGGCGUAGAUGAUCUUGAUUUGCUUGAAUGUUUAGAAAACCCGAGUUGUGAUUGUCCUUGUGAAAACGAUUUUGGUUGUGGUCCUUUGGCUGCCCGUGAUGGUUUGUAUGUAUGUGAGGACUACUGUUGUGAAAGAGAAGGUGAUAUGUGCUUAGAAAUGCCAUCUACUUCUUCUUUAUGUGUUUCUUAUGUUGAACAUAUUUCUAGUGGAGAUUUUGAAACUAGUAGUAAGUGCAUGCAUGAGAACCCUUUAUUUGAAGUUGACUUAUGAAACACCUUUCUCAACCCUCUUUUUGUUCAUGAUAUUUCCAAUGAUGAUAAAGAGGGCUUACUUAGUUUCGAGGAUGACACCCUAGGGGAAAGUGAGAGUGGCUGAGGCUUAAGCCCUUUGUUACGUCUCCCAUUCGACCCCGAUAACUUCUUAGGGUGUGAAGGACGGAUAGUUAUUGGUAGGUCCACUUGUUUGAGUGACAUUGCUAUAUGUGUUGCGUGGACUUUACUUUCAAUUAGAGCACCACCCCUUGAUGGUGAUUCCUUUCGUCCACUCCUUUGUAAUAUUUUUGCUAAGUUCCCCGUGAUUACAACAAAGGAUGUGUGGUUAUACCUUAAGUGUGUACCUCCUUGGCAUGUUGAUGUUGUUUAUUGUGCUAACUCUAACCCUCAUGUCAUUAGGAUGUGGUGCUUGGUUGUCUUCUCUUUGUGUUUGCAAGGUUUGGAUUCGAGGUCGAAUCCUUUUCAAGAAGGGGAGGAUGAUACGAGUCAAACGACACUCAUAGUUUUUGCUGACGUCCUUGGAGACCAACACAUAAAGGCUCAAUUUUUGGUCGCCUCGAGGACACGAGAGCAUGCAUGUAGAGACCGUGAUGGGCACUUGAUGGAGCAAUGCCGAGCGUGGAAGGUUGCUUGGAGCACUAAUGACUUGAGGACUCACGGUUUUUGGAGCUUGAAGAAGGCAUCGUUGGAGUGUUAGGACUCAAUGUGAGAAGUCCUCAACACACCAAGGCCACACCUCAUUAAGGGUGUUUUGGCCAUUUCAUCUUACCUUCUAACACACCAAGGCCACCCUUUAUCAUUAAGGGUGUCUUGGUCAUUUUGCCAUGUAAUAAGCUAGGCUAUAUAUAGUUCCUUAUUGGGUCUUUUCUCUUUAGUUGUUUAUUGAUGGUAGAUAAACUCUCUCUCUAGUGCGAGGAGUGUAACACCCCUUAGUUGUAGGACUUGGAAAAGCCACCAAUCCGUAACUAGGGUUGCCCAAGUGUGGAUAUCACUUGUGUUGCAUCGUUGGCUUGAUACGUUGGUGAUUAGGGAGGUAAAGUUCCUCUUUUGUCAACGUACGAUUUUGGUGUUAACAUUCAUUUAUCUUACGGUCCUUACAUGUAGUUAGGGUUCUUAGAUUCUUGAAUAUUGUAUGUCAAACUAUCUAUCCAUCUCUUUUGUUAACAUUAUAUUGUUGUUGGUCUAUGAAGUCUAGUGAAGCCGUGUGGGGCUCUUUCGAUUCACUAGCAUUGUUGUUCUUGUGUUCAUCUCUUUUCUUGCUCAAAACUAAAUCUAAAGUCUAGUGAAGCCGUGAGUGGCCUAUUUCGAUUCACUAGCACCUUGUUGUUCAUCUUGUGUUGGCUUGAAUCUCUUGAUACACACUUAGUCUUGUAUCAAGUAGUUUGUGUUUAGCCAAUAAAUUUAAAAAGCAUUUUUGAGUUGAAAUUAGUGUUCAGCAGCCAAGCUUUCUCAAGGUGCUUCUAAGUAUAUUUUUCUCAGAAGCGCUUGUGGGGAAAGACUACUUAGCUUCUGAAAAACAGCUUCUGCUGCUUCCUAGAAGCACUUCUUUUCUCCCAAAAAGCUUGGCAAAACAUCUUACUUUUUUAAAAUAACCACUCUUUGGAAAAAAAAGCACUUUUAGUCUCCGAAAAGCUAGGCCAAACAGGUCAUUACUCCUUGCUCUUGGACCUCCGGAGUUUAUAUCGUCCUUGGUAUUGAUUGAAGCCCCUUCUUUUCUUUGAAACUCUGAUUCUUCUUCAAACUCCUGCUAUUUCACUUUGAUGUCAUUCUCCUUGAUUCUACUUCAGAUCGCUUUAAGUCUUCUGUGAAGAGCGCAAGUUGUGAGGUCACUGGAAAAAGUUAUCUGCAUUCUUUUCAGUUUUGUGUGCUUUCUUAUUAUUAACAAAAGGGAAAAAUGAGAAGGAAAAGAAGUCCGAGAAUUCAACUAUCAGAGCACCACUUUUGCCCUCAAUUCCCUUGUUUACUAUUUACUAAUGUUAAGUUCCUGGCGGUGGAAAUUAUGUUUCUUGGGUGGUGUCGGUGAAAGUAUAGUUUGUGGAUGAAGUAUAAUGGGAUCAUUGAGUGUAAAUUUCUCUGAUACUGCAGUCCUCGGUUGAGCAACAAGUAAGAAGAUUCACAAAUAGCAUUAAGGAAAUUGCUUGGGGACUAAUGUUAUGGUAGCACAAAGAAUCAGUAACUUUGAACAAAAAAGAGGUUAAGAGUUUGUAGCCUUGCACAUACUGUGAUAAGUGAAUAUAUACAAGUGGAUGCUUAUUGGACUCGUCAUGGAAAACCCCCACCUAGCAAUGGAUGUCUCCAUCAUAGUGACAACAUUGAUUACCCCCACCUAGCAAUGGAUGUCUCCAUCAUAGUGACAACAUUGAUUAGACUAGUGCUAACCUGCAAUUGUUCGCUUUUAAUACAAUCUUCAUCUUUUGGACUGUGGAUACUUUGGGCUAUCAGUCCUCAAAUCACAUCCUGGUAAGGUAAUCUUUUUUUGUCAAUUUAAUUCGUGUCUUAUCUUCUACCUUCACCUUAUCUGAUGGAUCAGAUGCUCUAGUUAAAAGAACAGGUGAGGCUCUUUCUUCGCACCUUUAGCUUUUGUCUUAUUUGUAUCUAAAUGCCGUUAUAUAAUAAUAUGUAUUACUUCCUCCAGUUUCAUUUUAAUGCAUCUUAGUUUGAUUGCGUACAAAAAUCAAGAAAGUAACGGAAAAUUUUGAAUCUUGUGGUCUUAAACUAAAGAUUUGUGAAAUGCACAAAAUUGUCCAUUGAAUCUUGUGGUCUUAAACAUGCUUAUGUAAGAUAUUGGAACUAAAUAGUUACUGAAUGUAGAAAGUGAAAUACUUUUUGAAACUGACUAAAAAGGAAAGAAAGACACAUAAAUUGAGAUGGGUGGAGGGAGUAAGACACAUAAAUUGAGAUAGGCGGAGGGAGUUUCAGAUUAACCUAAGCGUAAUUUGUUCUAUAACUUUCUUUGCUAACUAUGUUUUUUUGUGCAUGACUGGAGUAUGAGAGGCGUGAUUUAAUAAUACACAAGUCACGGGGCUUGUAUUAAUUAUCCUGUCUAGAGGCGCCCGUGGCUUUCACUUUCUUUGACUCAUCUAUUUUUCUUCAUAAUAGGUGGGAGAUGUAUCUUCAAGUUUUAGUAGAUAUAACCCUGAAUCUCUCUAUUUAUCUUGGAAGAAGUGUGAGUCGUGUCGGUCACGAGAAGAUACUGGUGCUUUUUUCCCAAAUUUUUAGUCAAUAUUUGCUGGUGCCUUGUUUGAAGUGGUCCACUCAGACAUAUGAGGUUCAUGUUGUGUUAAUCCGCUUUCGGCUUUCAGUACUUUCCUUUUUUAUCUGAUGACUAUUUUCGUUGCACUAGUUUUUCUCCGUAAUAAUCGAUAUGAGUUAUCUUCUGUCUUUCAGAGAUUAGCAAUCAAAAGUGGUUGAUCUCUCAAGAAAUGAGUGCACUAAUGAAUGAUGACAUCUUUAGGACAUCUUUAUCCUCAGAGCCCUCACUUGGUACCCAUGUCAGAAUCCAUUUACUCAUUCCUCCACGUGUUUGGCUGACCAGUUCCGUUCAAGAUCUCAUAUCUGGAAAAGACAAACUUCCGCCCAAGUCAAAUAAAUGUAUUUUUUAUGAUAUUUCUCUCUGAAAAUUGCUAUGAUUCUGAACACCAACUGAGAAUUUGUUUCAGGAGACUUAAAACGUUUUCUAAGACUUUUUAAUAUAUUUCAGCAAAACUCAAAUAAAUAAGCAUCUGCAUGGCUUGUAAUCCCAACUCCAUUACCUCUUCGAGUUUAGCGUGAUCAACUCGCAUGCGUGUUAAUCCGGUCGAUGUUUUUCCUCAUGAUAGAUGUCUGCAGAUUACUUCCAGUGGAUUAUUGCAUUCUUCAAUAUCACACACUUCUGGUUGAGCCCUUGACAAACAGGACUAAUUAUCCUUUUUAGAGGACUUUGGCAGAGGUUAAUCAUGCAGAAGUAAUGACCCAUCUUGGUUGGCUACUUGUCAUCAGACUAUGGUCGUGGAAAUGACUAUAAUCUAACAUGAAAAUGGUACUUGGGGCAUAGUCUGUUCACCAUGUUGGAAAGCUACUGUUGAAUGUCGCUUGGUAUUAUACUGUCAGAAGUAAGGUGAGAUGGGGAGGUUCGAGACCUUAAAGUUCAGUUCGUUGUGCGAAAGAAAAAGAUACUCAGAAGCCAAAGUUGCAUCUCUUCGCCUCCUUAUUUGUAUGGAGGCUAUAUUCUAUUGAUCUCUUCAUCUCUUCAUUAGUCAGAUGUCACAAAUGUCUUUCCAGAGAACUUCCUAAGGAACUUUAUAGGGAGUCACUAAUCACGAUUGCCUUCCUGGAGAAUUUUCUUAGGAAGUUAAUGUGGAGCCACCGUCAAGGUUUUCGUUCAGGUAGCAUCUAGAUUAGUGUGUUGGCUACAUUAAUCUCAUGAUAUUAUAACCAAUUCUGAGAGGCAAAGUUCUAUUUUUUUGGAAAAUAGCUCGCUGGACUCUUGUACUUGGUCUGAUUUAUACUUCUACGUAGUCCUUUUGUCAUCUGAACCAUUCAACUUAAUAAAACUCAGCAUUUUAAAUCCUGCA